rnacentral:lncRNA from 1 species
GUAGAUGUCUUUCCUCUACAUAUGUCUCUUUUAUGUUCAGUCAGACUUUUAUCAAGUGGCCUCAUGGUUGUUCCUAUAUAAAUUUCUUCCUUCUUUGUGUCCAGGUUUUUGAGUGGUAUCCUAUAUAAAGAAAAAGAAUUACAGUAUAUAUACAGAACUGGACAUCUAUAUGGUUAUACAAGAGGUUUUUAAGAAAGGUUCACAAAAGAGUCUGACAUUCCCUGUCAGGACAAGUAUCGCCAAGAGAAAUGGAAAGUGCCAAAUAUUAAUAUAGGGUAGGGCCAAGCCGAUACCCUAUGCAAUGAAGAACUCUAAGCACAUAAGAUCUUUAGUAGUGAGGAGUGAUAAGAGAUUAGCCUACAAAAGGCUUCCUACAUUGUUUAGCCAGCUUCGUAAUGAGAAAGAUAAAAUGGGGAGUAGGCAGAAGUCGGGGGUAUAGGAUACCACUCAAAAACUUGGACACAAAGAAGGAAGAAAUUUAUAUAGGGGUAACUACGAGGCCACUUGAUAAAAGGCUGACUGAACAUAAAAGAGACAUAUGUAGAAGAAAGACAUCUACGGCUCUAGCAACAUGGGCUUUGGAGUAUAAGUGCAGGUCAGUUGAGAUGAAAUGGAAAUACUAAGAACCUUGGAGAGAGAACAACAUGCACUGCUAGCUGAGGCUAUGGAAAUUUAUGUGAGUGAUAACAAUAAGUACUUGGUGAACAUAACCAACUGGCCCGUGAAUUACCAGCCACCUGGAAAUAUCUUUUAAAUAAGAAUAACAUUGGAGAGGACUAAGAAUGCUUUUUAAAAGAAUAUCUUAUGAUAAAAAAGACACAGCUCUACAAGCAAAGGAUUUUUUUAUAUUAAUG